GGAUGUGAGGGCAAUCUGGCUGCGACGUCUGAUGUCUGUCACCCCAUUGAUCACCAGGGUUGGUUAAGCUGAUCUGGCUGGCUAGGAGGGUGUUCCUUUCCUCCCUCACCGCUCCACGUGUGUGCCUCCAGGAAGCUGUGCCCUUAGUGGACGAGGAUGACUUUCCCCAAAUCUAAAAUUUUCAAAUGUCUUUUGUUGUCAUGUGGAACUCAUCUCUUUCCCAUCUGUAUUUUAUGCGCAGGUGUUUAC
rnacentral:sRNA from 1 species